AACCCAUGCAUAGGACACUUCCACAGUAAUUCCUUGAAUCUUUCUCGUGCUUCAUACAAGCUUUUAUCCUCCAUUUUCUUAAAUGAAGUUAGAUCAUUUCGAAGUUU